GAUCGCAUCAUUUUCAAAGCACAGACCACGUCUUGUUCUUACGUUUGCUAAUUUUUUAUUACUGUACUGUAUUUUUGUGUGUAAUUUAUUACUGCGGCUGAGGUCAUACGAUUCUCUCCCAAACAGGUCAACACAUAAUCCAGUCAAGACAGCUAUAGUAAAAGGUGGCUGGCCUGCAACGUGUAGGUUCCCCGCUCAAAUAGAGAAUGCAUGUGCUUCUCUCAUUUCAGGCCGGUCACCUGAUGCCCCCUACACCAGUAGCUGUGGUUUCUCAGAAAUUCAACGGAUGGCAUUUGUCGUGAUUUCGCUGCAGGGAAACACCCAACCCCGUCCUUUGCCGGCAUAAAUAUACAUCUCAUCGUGGUAGAGCUCUGUGCUACUGGUUAUAGACACAGCCUGUGUCCUUGUGUUUGAUGGUGAGCAAAUUCUGUCAAUAUUUUGAAAGGUCGUGUUUUCAUACCAGGCAGAGUUCUGUUCAAAAACUGUUCAGUUUGCGGAGAUAUCAGUGAUGUGAUGUUUGC